GACGAACGCUGGCGGCGUGCUUAACACAUGCAAGUCGAACGGAAAGGCCCUGCUUGCAGGGUACUCGAGUGGCGAACGGGUGAGUAACACGUGGGUGAUCUGCCCUGCACUUCGGGAUAAGCCUGGGAAACUGGGUCUAAUACCGGAUAGGAGCCAUUUUUAGUGUGAUGGUUGGAAAGUUUUUUCGGUGUAGGAUGAGCUCGCGGCCUAUCAGCUUGUUGGUGGGGUAAUGGCCUACCAAGGCGGCGACGGGUAGCCGGCCUGAGAGGGUGGACGGCCACAUUGGGACUGAGAUACGGCCCAGACUCCUACGGGAGGCAGCAGUGGGGAAUAGUGCACAAUGGGCGCAAGCCUGAUGCAGCGACGCCGCGUGGGGGAUGACGGCCUUCGGGUUGUAAACUCCUUUCGCUAGGGACGAAGCUUUUGUGACGGUACCUAGAUAAGAAGCACCGGCUAACUCCGUG
rnacentral:rRNA from 1 species